UUAAAAUUCAUCGGGAACAUUCUAGCUUUAAGUGUAUUUGCGACAUCAACGGGUUGUUUCGUAAGAAAUGUAUGCUUUAUGGCAUAAAAAUAUCGGAGCUUCUUCUUUUUUGCCGAUGGUUAUGUGCAAUUCAUAAGAUCGUGAUAUAAUUUAUAAUUGAUAGUGUCAUCAAUAUGUUGGCUGUGUGAUGUUUUACCACUAAUCAUUUGGAGUUGGGAAAUUAAAUAAAGCGUUUGCGUUUUUCGCGAUGCAUGGCUCCAAGGCAGUCUAAUGCAAGGUUACGCAAACUGCCAGGAGACGGAACCAAAGCAUAUUGCUGCUAUUGUAGAUCUACAAUUUCAGCAAGUUAUCGAAAUAAGGCAGCAUCCCUUCAACCAUUUUCUAUCGCGGAAGACACUUCUAAGUGACUUCUAGAAGAUGAAAACUAUCGUCCGCGAUAUCGCAUUCGGAUCGCGGGCACAUAAGUUUUUUACAAAACUGGACUGACCACGAGCAAAUUGCGAAAUAAACUGACGCUCGGAUGAAAAACAAACGUCACAUGUUAACAAUGGGGACAAUUGCUCAAACGCAGAAAAUAAGUUUUCUGCAAGACACAGGAGCAGGAAGCAGCCCUUUGUUUAUACAUUGCCCAACACUCUGCUAUGUUGCCAACGAACCACUUGUCGCAAUUGUGCAAAACUAAAUUUAAAGCAUGAAGUGCAACCGCUCCAAUACAUCUGGGGCGUACGAAAUGCACGCAGAUAAUAAAUGUGUUAGCUAAGCAUUUCAUGAAAGACUUGCGCGUCGACAUCAGAGUUUUAAAAUGUAGCUUAAUGCUGAGUGAGCCCACGGAUAUUAGUGUGUCGAAAUUACUUGUUAAAUAUUACAUUAUUUUCUUUUUUAUUUGCACAAAUAUAUUUGUGGGUCUAAAAUUUAA